GACGAUCCACUCGCCAACCGGGUCAGGUCCGGAAGGAAGCAGCCCUAACGAGCCCGGAACGGGUC
rnacentral:SRP_RNA from 1 species